GGUCGGGUCCCAUGCGGCGUCGCGCCGUGAACCCCGUCAGGCCCGGAAGGGAGCAGCGGUAAGCGGAAAGCACGGGUGUCAUGGAUCAGCCUGAUCCUG
rnacentral:SRP_RNA from 1 species